GUGACUCUUGGCGGUGGAUCACUCGGCUCUCGUGUCGAAGAACGCAGCUGGCUGCGAGGAUUUGUGUGAAUUGCAGGACACAUUGAUCAACACUUCGAACGCACCAUGCGGCCCCUGGUUCCUCCCGGGGCUACGCCUGUCUGAGGGUCGCUUGUACAUCAAUUGCCCCGGGGUUCCCUCCCAGGGGCGUGGCUGGAGCUGUCGCAGGGACCCCGUUCCCUUUGUCUCCCUAAGGUCAGACCCCGAUCAGCACUGUUGCAGGAUCCCUGGAUAUGGUGCGCAGGCUCAUUGCUGGUGCGUCCCGGCCUACCCAUUUUCCCUGCCUCAUGCAGGUUUCGGGAGGGCUGGGUGGCCGGUGCGCCCUGCAUGUGGUGGCGGUGGCAGCAGGCCUUAAAAAAGCCUGGCGCUCCUUCAUCCUAACCCGGGGCACCUGGCCAUGCUGUGUGUGGCUGUCUGUAGUGUACUGUGGCUUCCGGCGCAGGAUGGCCAUGCAGCGCGGGCCUCGCGACCAUGUGGGAUUCGGCUGCAGAUCGGGACAGCGCACACUCUGCAGCACCAGAUGCACAGGGCUGGGGCAACCCCCCCCCCCUGUAUGGAUCUGAGGCCAGAUGCCCCAAGCUUUGUGCUCAUCCCCGAUUACAGAAUCAGAUCAGAUGUCUCGACCCGCUGGAUUUAAGCAUAUUACUUUGUAGAGAGUUCAAGAGGGCGUGAAACCGUUGAGAGGUAAACUGGUGGGGUCCGGGCAGUCCGCCCGUAAGUCCGCCCGUAGGAUUCAACACGGCAGGCAGGUUGGUCGCCUGGAAAGGUGGAUGCCCUUGCGGGACUGCAGCAUUUGCAGACCUAGCCCCUGCAGGGCGCAUUUCCUCUGUGGCGGUGCAUCGCGACCGGCUGGGAAGGCCCAGGUUUUGCUGUGUCCGCAGGGCUGAGGGAGAUUGACUGCAGCUGUGCCCUUCUCCGGCAAACAUCCUGGCCCCUCUUGGGGGUUGCUGGGGCAGAGACAGGGCUUUGAUGCGACUGUGGCGUACUGCCCUCAGUGCGCUCUGACCACGUCAUCCCCGCUGGGCGGGGAGACCACAAAGGGCGCCAGGGGUCUGGGAUGAUGUUUGUUAACCACCCGACCUCUCUUGAAACACGGGCCAAGGAGUCUUAACACGUGCGUGAGUCGGAGGGCCAAAUGAAACCCUGUGGUGCAAACAAGGUGAGGGCCGGCGCAUGCAGAUUGCGGUGGGAUCCCAUCGCUGAGGGCGCACCCCCGACCUGGGGCGCUCGCUCUGUCAGGGAGAUGGAGCAUGAGCGUGUGUGAUAGGACCCGAAAGAUGGUGACCUAGGCCUGGUGGAGGUCCGUAGCGGUCCUGAUGUGUAAAUCGGUCGUCCGAACUGGGUAUAGGGGCGAAGGACUAAUCGAACCAUCUAGUAGCUGGUUCCCUCCCUCCGGGUAGCUGGCGCACGGAAACCCCAGUUUUAUCUGGUAAAGCGAAUGAUUAGAGGUCUUGGGGCCAAAAUGAUCUCAAACUUUAAAUGGGUAAGAAGCCGACUCGCUUGCAUGGAGCGGGGCAUUGAAUGCAAGUGGGCAACUUUUGUUAAGCAGAACUGGCGCUGCGGGAUGAACUGAAUGCCGGGUUAAGGUGCCCGAUGCCGACUCAUCAGACCCCAGAAAAGGUGUUGAUUGAUAUAGACAGCAGGACCGUGGCCAUGGAAGUCGGAAUCCGCUAAGGAGCCCUGGUUCUUUUCUUUGUGAAGGGCAGGGCACCCUGGAAUGGGUUUGCCCUGAGAGAGUGGCCUAAGUCUUGGAAAGCUUUGCAGUUCCCACUGUCCCUACCUUCUAUCUAGUGAAACCACAGCCAAGGGAACGGGCUUGGCAGAAUCACCAGGAAAAUAAGACCCAUUUGAGUUUGCGUCUAGUCUGGCACUGUGAAGAGACAUGCAAAGUGUAGGAUAAGGGGGAGGCUCUCGGGCCGCCGGUUAAAUACCACUACUCUUAUCAUUUUUUCACUUACCCAGUGAGGUGCAGGGCAAGCCCCGUGGGGCUCUCACUUCUGGCUACCGGCGGCCGCUGUGCGCAAACCGCUCCAGGGACAGUGGCAGUUGGGGAGUUUGACUGGGGCGGUACACCUUUUCAACAAUAACGCAGGUGUCCUAAGGCGAGCUCAGGGAGGACAGAAACCUCCUGCGGAGCAGAAGGGCAAAAGCUUGCUUGAUCUCGAUUUUUCAGUAUGAAUACAGACCGUGAAAGCAGGGCCUCAUAAUCCUUCUGAUUUUUUGGGUUUCAAGCAGGAGGUGUCAGAAACGUUACCAAGCGUUCAUAGCAACGUUGCUUUUUGAUUCUUUGAUGUUGGCUCUUCCUAUCAUUGUGAAUCAGAAUUCACCAAGCGUUGGAUUGGUCACCCACUAAUAGGGAACGUGAGGUGGGUUUAGACCGUUGUGAGACAGGUUAGGGUGUCCAGACAUUUCGUCGAAAAAAAAAUGUUGACAGGACAAAUGGUCGACACCAUUUGGUCGAAAACCAAAUGGUCGAAUUUUUAUUUUUAUUUAUAUAUAUAUUUUUUAGGUUUUCGUUUAGGGAAAAAAAGGUUUUUUUAGAAAGAAAAGGGGUUGGGGGACCUCCCCCCACCCCCAAAAAAAGUGAAAAUACAAUCCUGUCAACUUUUUUUUCGACCAAAUGUCUGGUAACCACAGGUUAGUUUUACUCUACUGAUGAUGUAGUGUUGCAAUA
rnacentral:rRNA from 1 species